GCAGCCGCUGCUGCUGCUGCUGCUGCCACAGAGCCAAGGCCAUUCAUGGUGCUCGCUGUCAUGUCCUGUGCCUCGUGCUUCAAGCUAUGUCCCAGCGCCGGAUGAUGGGCAAAGGAGAGCGGCGGCAAGUGCAAACCCGGAAAAGCCAAACCAGCUGCGGCAGCCGCAUGCAGCGAUUGCAGCAAUGCUGCCGAAUGCUCUUGUGCCUUGCGCCGCAAUUCGGCCACCGAAUUGGAACGUGGAUCGUGUGCCCCGCCCCCCGAUUUGGGCGACUCUGGCGAACUGGCUGCCGAGCUGCUGCUAAUGGGCACACUCAAGGGCGCCAUCACGGACCCCGAGGCCGAGGUAACUGGCGGCAUUGGCGGCGGCUUCAGUGAGCAACACGAACAAAGACUCUGGAACGUUCGAAUUUUGAUUUUGAUGCAUUAGCACAGCUUGGACGCAGCUGCGUUGCUGUAAUUCAAUAAGCAAUUGCUUUUGAUUUGGAUUUCACAGCCCUGAUUGACAGCCCAUCUAUACAGAUUAUGCCAUUAGCCCCCACUCACCUUU